GGGUUGUGAGGUUAAGCGACUAAGCGUACACGGUGGAUGCCCUGGCAGUCAGAGGCGAUGAAGGACGUGCUAAUCUGCGAUAAGCGUCGGUAAGGUGAUAUGAACCGUUAUAACCGGCGAUUUCCGAAUGGGGAAACCCAGUGUGAUUCGUCACACUAUCAUUAACUGAAUCCAUAGGUUAAUGAGGCGAACCGGGGGAACUGAAACAUCUAAGUACCCCGAGGAAAAGAAAUCAACCGAGAUUCCCCCAGUAGCGGCGAGCGAACGGGGAGGAGCCCAGAGCCUGAAUCAGUGUGUGUGUUAGUGGAAGCGUCUGGAAAGGCGCGCGAUACAGGGUGACAGCCCCGUACACAAAAAUGCACAUGCUGUGAGCUCGAUGAGUAGGGCGGGACACGUGGUAUCCUGUCUGAAUAUGGGGGGACCAUCCUCCAAGGCUAAAUACUCCUGACUGACCGAUAGUGAACCAGUACCGUGAGGGAAAGGCGAAAAGAACCCCGGCGAGGGGAGUGAAAAAGAACCUGAAACCGUGUACGUACAAGCAGUGGGAGCCUCUUUAUGGGGUGACUGCGUACCUUUUGUAUAAUGGGUCAGCGACUUAUAUUCUGUAGCAAGGUUAACCGAAUAGGGGAGCCGAAGGGAAACCGAGUCUUAACUGGGCGUUAAGUUGCAGGGUAUAGACCCGAAACC
rnacentral:rRNA from 1 species